rnacentral:rRNA from 1 species
UCGAGAAUCUUUGGCAAUGGGCGAAAGCCUGACCAAGCGAUGCCGCGUGCGGGAUGACGGCCCUCGGGUUGUAAACCGCUGUCCGAGGGGAUGAAACUUCGGUUGACAGAGCCUCAGAGGAAGCACGGGCUAAGUACGUGCCAGCAGCCGCGGUAACACGUACUGUGCGAACGCUAUUCGGAAUCACUGGGCUUAAAGGGUGCGUAGGCGGCCGAUCAAGUCAGGUAUGAAAUCCCACGGCUCAACCGUGGAACUGCGCUUGAAACUGGUUGGCUUGAGCGAGACAGGGGUGAACGGAACUUCUAGUGGAGCGGUGAAAUGUGUUGAUAUUAGAAGGAACACCAUUGGCGAAAGCGGUUCACUGGGUCUUGUCUGACGCUGAGGCACGAAAGCUAGGGGAGCGAACGGGAUGAGAUUCCCCUGCAGUCC